CACAUCAUCUCUUGGCUCUCUUUCCUGCUGCACCUGAAUCUGACUGCCUGCUCCUCCUCUCUGUGUCCUCUGCAUGAACUCUGCUUGAUCGUGCCAUUUCUUCCAUAACCUGACUUUUAUGGAAUAAACUGGUGUUGUUUGUGUUCCGUGCUAAAAACAGGACAUUCUCACUGUGAUGGACUAUAUUGAUGUAUGUUUUGUUAUACAAUUUUCACAAAAUCUGCUUCUAUAUUUUCCUUUGCAGGUGUUUUUCAUGCUAUCUUACUUGCUCACAGACAUGUUCUUCUGCUGAGUCUGGGCAGGAAGGAGCACAAACACUCAGAGCUGUAGAGUUUUCACACUGUGAUCCUAACUUUACACUAUAAAAUAACACUUUAAAUGUAGACCACCAUCGCUCUAGUAACUAAUGAGAACAAUUUAGGCUAUAAUGCUCCAAAAUAAUUCACAACUCUGCCCUGUCUGCCACCUCGAUCCCACAGAAAUCCCACCGACCGUCCAGCCUGCUCGAGUCUUUUCCGGCCGAGCUCCCCGGUGACUUCCUCUCAGUUUCUCACACUGAGGCUGGAUCUGAGCAUAAUACUGCUCUCAUUGGUUGAACUUCCCAUAUAACAUGUAGACACACCGACACCCCCAGACGGUCGCUUGAGCUUCACAGUUUCAUAUUGUGGGAUAUAAAAAGCAAAACCCGACUUCCCAGUUUGUGGAUCCUUCUGUGUAAAUCUGAAGAUAAACCCCUCGGGGACUUCAGUCAGCGCGUUCAUGAUGUUUUAUGUUGGCCAUCACAUUUUGGCAUGGGCAGCAUCCACGGAGGUACGACUGACCAGUACCCUGCGGGCCCCCCGCCUCCCUCAGUCCCAGCUCCUCCAUUUUUACUGAUGUUAAACAUCAAACGUUCCUUCCUCCUUUUGCCUGACGCAUUAAUGAGUCCAGCUACUGCAGGCUGCUCUCCUUUAUGUGCCCGACCUUUAACACUAUACUGCCCCGCCGGUUUCUCCCGUCGAACUGAUAUGGCGUCUCUACCAGUGAAGCCGGGACUGGAGUUGGACGAAGGGCCCCACGACACGGUGUCAGGGCCUCAGCCUGCAUCACUUCCAACCUUUUUAAAUGUGUUUCAGCUGCUGACACAUAACAACCAACCAUAAUCCAGUCCAGACCUUCUCCCUGGCCUGCAGAUCAUUAGUUGUCUACAUGAUUUAUCUGCUCAUCGAAGCGCACAACUCUUUCACCCUCUCUGUGACGGCAGGUGUGGGUCGAGCAGGUUGGAGAAGUCUCGACUCCAGUUCGCCUGUUUGUGAAUUCAGAAGAACUUCCUGUCCGCUGCUGCAUCAGGAGGGCAGCCAGCUUCGUCGUUCGUAGUCUGAGUGAUAUUUUGAUUAACUGAGACCUCUGUUAGUUGUCCAGUGGGAGCAGCUGUGCAACCAUUUUAAAUUGUACUUGAAACAGUCUUCAUACUGUUGGUGUCUUAAAACCCAAAUACAGUUUAACGUAAACUGAUUCAAACCUU